rnacentral:lncRNA from 1 species
CCUCUAUUAUUUAUUCUGUAAAGUAUGGGAACUGAACCUCAAAAGAAGGUUUUUGUCAGUUUGACAAUGCAUAGUAAAAUAAUUGCCUUUUAAAUUCAUUCCUUAGAAGAAGCAAAAAGAAGAAAAGAAGUUCCAGAAAAGAAAGCUAUUCAUGAAGUUAAAACAAAAGGUACUACCUUAUUUUAAAAUGUGGCAGUUAAUUUACCCACUCUUCAGAGACCUCUGCCUAUUAUAAUUCCUAAAGAAAUAGAAAUAAAAAUAAUUUAUGGUUCGUGUCUUAGAAGCAGAAGAAAGAAAAAAGGUAACUCACAAGAAGAAAAUUAUUCCUGAAAUUAAAGGGAAAGCUUUGGAACAGGAAAAGAAGGUAACCCAAGAGAAGAAAGCUAUUUCUGAAACAAAAAUUAAAGGGGGAAAAGAAGAAAGAAAGAAAGCUCUUGAGAAAACAGCUGUCCCUGAAGUUAAAAAGGCAGAACCAGAAAAAGCUCCUGCAGCCCAUCCAGCUUCUGUGAAGGUAGCUGUGCGAGAACCAUUCAAGAAAGAAAAGCCAGUCGAAAGAGCCAAGCAGCCAGUGAAGGAUGUGCCUGUAAAAGCAUCAGUUACACAAGAAACUCAUAAACCAAAAGAAACAGAACUAACCAAAAUAGAACCUGCUGCCCAUUUGACUAAAAAAGCAGUACAUGAAAAGAAAGAAGACAGAUUAUUAAAGGCAGUGGAGCAAGACAAACCAAAAUCCAAAGAAACAAAAGAUAUCAGAGGGAAAGAAGCAAAACAUGUGGCACCAAAAGUCAAAGAUGUUGCAAAAGAAAAAGUGAAGUCUCCUACUACUGUGAAAGAAAAAGAGGCAGUAAAACCAAAGGAAGUAAAGCCUACCAUUCCCCAGAAGCAGAAAGCACCUGAAGUGAUAAAAGAAACCAAAGAUACUUCUCAUCGUGCCAUUGCAGGACAAGAGGUUCUUAAGCACGACAAAGGAGCUCCUCAAGGAAAGCCAGAAGAAAUCACAGUAGCAGAUAAGAAAAAAGCAGAAAAGCCUUUGAAGGAAAAAGACAGAAAAAUGGCAGCGGUGACUCAUUUGAAAGAAGAAAAAGCCAAGGUCCCAGCAGUAAAAGAAUCCCAUCACCAUCGUAACAUGACAACAGACAAGCUUUCAAAGGCUUCAAAAGCAACAGCUGCUGUCCGCUACUAUCAGUGUGUCUUUGUAAAUGGAUACAAUGACUACAAACCGCAACACCCUGUUACCCCUGCCCAGGACUACAAAGGAAAGGCCGGGCAGACAAAAAAUUCUGGGCACAAGAUCAAGACACUGAAACAAUAG